GAUAUUUAUUGUUUUUCAACAACUUAACAUGAAAAAAUUGUAUCAAUAUGGUUUGAGAAGCUCUCCUACCAUAUAAUAAACAAUAAGUAAAUGUGUUUGGAACGUACUUUUUUAUUUAAAGUGAAAAUUAUUUCAUAAGUAACAAAACGAAAGACAGUAAUUUAAUUUAUAUGCACUUAAUAAUACUUUAGCGUUUACAUUUCUGAUAAAACUUGUGUUCAGCUAACUAU